UACAGAGGUCUCAAGCGUUGUUCGGAUUCAUUGGGCGUAAAGGGUGCGUAGGCGGCGCGGUAAGUCGGGUGUGAAAUCUCGGAGCUUAACUCCGAAACUGCAUUCGAUACUGCCGUGCUUGAGGACUGGAGAGGAGACUGGAAUUCAUGGUGUAGCAGUGAAAUGCGUAGAGAUCAUGAGGAAGACCAGUGGCGAAGGCGGGUCUCUGGACAGUUCCUGACACUGAGACACGAAGGCCAGGGGAGCAAACGGGG
rnacentral:rRNA from 1 species